UACGAAGGGUCCUAGCGUUGUUCGGAGUUAUUGGGCGUAAAGCGGGUGUAGGUGGCUUUGUAAGUCAGGAGUGAAAGCCCUCAGCUUAACUGAGGAAGUGCUUUUGAAACUGCAAAGCUUGAGUACUGGAGAGGAUAGUAGAAUUCCUGGUGUAGUGGUGAAAUACGUAGAUAUCAGGAGGAAUACCGGUGGCGAAGGCGGCUAUCUGGCCAGAUACUGACACUGAGACCCGAAAGCGUGGGGAGCAAACAGG
rnacentral:rRNA from 1 species